rnacentral:rRNA from 1 species
UUAAGCAUCCCGCCUGGGGAGUACGUUCGCAAGAUUAUAACUCAAAGGAAUUGACGGGGUCCCGCACAAGCGGUGGAGCAUGUGGUCUAAUUCGAAGCAACGCGCAGAACCUUACCAGCUUUUGACAUGUCCUGGACGGAUGGCAGAGAUGCUUUCUUCUCUUCGGAGCCAGGAACACAGGUGCUGCAUGGCUGUCGUCAGCUCGUGUCGUGAGAUGUUGGGUUAAGUCCCGCAACGAGCGCAACCCCCGCCUUUAGUUGCCAUCAUUCAGUUGGGCACUCUAGAGGGGCUGCCGGUGAUAAGCCGGAGGAAGGUGGGGAUGACGUCAAGUCCUCAUGGCCCUUACAGGCUGGGCUACACACGUGCUACAAUGGCGGUGACAAUGGGAUGCGAAGGGGCGACCCGGAGCAGAUCUCCAAAAGCCGUCUCAGUUCGGAUUGUACUCUGCAACUCGAGUGCAUGAAGGUGGAAUCGCUAGUAAUCGUAGAUCAGAACGCUACGGUGAAUACGUUCCCGGGCCUUGUACACACCGCCCGUCACACCAUGGGAGUU